CCGAGGAGAUGGCAGCCCGCUCCUCGUUCUGCCAGAGAGUGUGCAGCUCUGCAGGAGGAAAACAACGAGGUCGCUUUCAGAUCGCUUACCUUCCAGAGUCCCGACUGCAGCAGCUCAUCCAGCUUCCCAUCGACUCUGAUCUUGUUUCCUGUCACUCCAGAAGAAAUGCAUAAUGCGGCCACCACCGUGUAUCGCCAUACAACUGAUAAUGUGUUAGUUUCUCGUCACAUGUAAAGUUUUCCAUGGAAACCAAAGUGUCUCAUUUUGACCUGAUCUGAUCCGGUCACCUAUUUCCACAUAUUUGCGGUGUUCCCUAUGUGGGUUACGGUAAACUGAUAAUGGGAACUCUUAACUUCCUGUUAGCAGCGGGCUACUCCUUACAGCUCUUGCAUAAAGGUCAUAUUCUUGGCCUAGGAGUCAACCUACUGGAGUGUUGUUCAUUAUUGGGUUUUCACAAAAUUUUAGAGAAAGAAAACAUUUGAUGGCUUUACAGUUAAAUAACUUGAGAUUGUGUUGCAUCCGUUUUGGUUGUGGAUUGUUUUGUUUCCUUUCUGUACUGUUUUACUGAUUUAUAUACAAGAAGUGAUAUGAUUUGAGCUUUUUAUAUUAAUUUUGUUUAAUUUGAUGUGUAGAACAGGCAUAAAUAUAUGAACCUCGUGCUUUUGUCUGCACGGUUUCAGUCAAGUUGUUGUCAAGUUUAUUGUGUUUUGAAGUAUGGGUGAAAAACUAUUUGAUGACUGAUUGAAUAAAUAAAAAAACAAUAAAUGAAGUUUGUGUUUGUAAAGA